CCCACCCUGUCUGCUCCUUCCUUUUCUCCUUAACCCUCCCACACCACUUAAACCCCACUGCUUUGCCCUCUAAGUCCCAAAUCACAUCUGGUUUUCAUCUUUUCAUUCCACUCCGAUCCUUCCUCUGCUCUCAGGUGACUUACCGCACUGACCCUCUGCUGAUCUCACUGGCUCCAGCCACCAGCCAUGAUCCUAAGUCUUCACCAUGAGCAACGCCCACGCACAGGCAGAAAGAGCCCACGGGUUCUUAUGAGGAUUAAGAAAAGGGCCAACUUGCAAGUGGCUGACAAAUGUGCUUGCGUGACAGGGUGAUCCUGCUCAGAACACGCCCUGCUGGCUGGGGUUAGAGUCCUUCCUAACUGGGGCCCCAAUCUUUCCAGCCACCUGUCCACUAGAUUCCCCACUUCUGUGCCCCUCACCAAAUGCUACUGGGGCAAAUCUUGCUAUUUGCCAUCACUGCGUCCUGGCUUCAAACUGGUGUGUUCUGUUAGUGAAACCAGGACACCAUGAGACUGAGGUGGCUCUAAUGCCUUAACCUAGGUCAGCAAACCCAAAAUCAAGCCCGUAAAUCCCUCAAGGUUAAGAAGCGGAAACCUAAGUUCAAAGGAUGGGAACAGACAGCAAGACUUUCUCACAUACGGCGUCCCUUUUAAGCAAUGGCCUAUCAGGAUUUCCCUUGCUUUGCUUCCUACAGCUUCUCUAUGAAAACCUCGCCCUGGUUGGUCGACCCCUUCCAACCACUUCCGGUUUGGCACUUCCUGAUUCCAAUCGAGGUUUGUUCAAAUAAACUCGAAAAUGUUAACAUGUCCCAGUUUACCUUUUCACGGUUCCUUCAGCAUGGAAGGCUUUUCCUCCUUCCGUCUGCUUGCCAGAGUUCUUCUGCACGCUCAAGCUCGGCGAAACCUCACCUCCUCCAAAGAGCCUGUGCCCGGACCGAGUCACUCCUUCCCUCCCUUGUCAGCGCAUCACACGGAGUCUGCGCAGCUGUGUCUGGGUGGCUGGAAUGGGAGCAUGACAGCUGAAGCUCAAGGAACCAUCCUGAACAGAGAGGUGGAAGACUGUGGUGAAAAUGACAGAACAUCAAGAGAAAUGUUUCCUGGGUCUUUGAUAAUUAAUGAGCGCCAUGCCAACUCUAUACUGUUUCUCUCCAGACUUACUUCAUAAGAAAGAGGAAUACAUUCAUAUCUUGUUUAAUACAACAUUUGAUCUCUGGAAAUGGCUUUUCGCAUGUCAGAAAUCAGCUGAAGGACGCUGCCUGCACGGUUUCCAAGGCUAUUAAGUAAGCCUCCAUUCAACUGAGCCAUUUUGAACUGGCUUCAGAGUACAGAAACCC